CGGGCGCGCCUAACACAUGCAAGUCGAGCGAGAAAGGGGCAACCCCGGUAAAGCGGCGCACGGGUGAGUAACACGUAGGUAAUCUACCCUCGGGGUGGAGGAUAACUUUCCGAAAGGAAGGCUAAUACUGCAUGAGACCACGAUUCCGGAAGGGGAUUGAGGUCAAAGCCGGCCACUGUACACAAGCUGGCGCCUGAGGAUGAGCCUGCGGCCCAUCAGCUAGUUGGUAGGGUAAAUGGCCUACCAAGGCGAAGACGGGUAGCUGGUCUGAGAGGAUGAUCAGCCACACUGGAAACUAGAGAACAACGGUCCAGACUCCUAACGGGAGGCAGCAGUGGGGAAUCUUGCGCAAUGGGCGAAAAGCCUGACGCAGCGACGCCGCGUGAGUGAUGAAGGCCUUCGGGUUGUAAAGCUCUGUGGAGGGGACGAAAUAAGGGCUGGCUAACAUCCAGCUUGAUGACGGUACCUCUUUAGCAAGCACCGGCUAACUCUGUGCCAGCAGCCGACGGUAAGACAGAGG
rnacentral:rRNA from 1 species